UCUAAUAUGGCAGAUUAGUGCAAUGAAUUUAAGCUUCAUAUAUAAAGAUUUAAUCUUUUGUUAGAA
rnacentral:tRNA from 1 species